rnacentral:rRNA from 1 species
AACGAACGCUGGCGGCGCGUCUUAAGCAUGCAAGUCGAACGGCAAGAUUGGUGCUUGCACCGAUCCUAGAGUGGCGGACUGGUGAGUAACGCGUGGGUGACGUACCCUAAGGAUGGGGAUAGCUGGUAGAAAUAUCAGAUAAUACCGAAUAUCCUUAUUGUUGUUGGAGGACAGUAAGGGAAGGAGCUUUGGCUUCGCCUAAGGAUCGGCCCGCGUACUAUUAGCUAGCUGGUGAGGUAGCGGCUCACCAAGGCGACGAUAGUUAUCCGGCCUAAGAGGGUGAACGGACACAUUGGGACUGAGAUACGGCCCAG